GGUCUACUGGCGUAAUUGGAUAGCGCACCUGACUACGAAUCAGGAGGUUGCAGGUUCGAGUCCUGCGUGGAUUG
rnacentral:tRNA from 1 species